ensembl:lncRNA
UUUUUUUUUUUUUUUUUUUACAAAUUCCCCUCACUUUUUAAAGAUUAUUUUCAGCCCUUUUUGCGUUUCUUGCACAAGAAAAAAAGCACUGUAACAUAGCACGGGAAACAAACAAACCCAAACCCAAACGCCGGCCCUGCAAAACAACCGCGUACCCCUUCACGGCCGACGCGGAACUCCCAUUGUGCCCUCAGUCUCCCGGUGCCGGGCAUCCCCGCUCCUCAUCACCCCCUAAAGAAGCAGCGGCUUCCAACCCCCGCCGGGACACGCGUGGGGCGGUUCGGACCCGUGCGGCCACGUGUGCGGGGCGCGGUGACACGGAUGGGGCGCGCACACGCGUGGGUUUGGGACACGCCGUGGGCAGCCCCUCGUGUGGCUCCGUCCCGCGUGGGCUGCGCGCUGCUCUCUCCGCUCCCACUGAGCUGUUUCGUUUCGUUUUUUGCCCGCGAUUCACCCGCGGCGCUGCUGAGGUGCGGCGGGGACACGCGUGGGCAGCGCAGUGACCCCACCCGAGGCUGAGCCCUCACCGCCGUUCCGCGGGGAAUUCUUCUUUCUGUCGCAUCGCGGUGCCUGGAAACGCGACCGUUCGUUUCCAAUCCCACCGAGCGUUCCCCCGCAUUUACCGGGAGCGCGGAGCCGGAGGCCCACGCGUGUCGGCAACGCGGAUGGCAGCGGGGAGCGCCGUGCGGGGACAGCCUGCUCCUGCAGCCCCGCUCGGGCCGGGUGAGCUCGUGAGAAGGGGGCAAAAAGCUGCAGCCGGCAUCGCCUCGGGUCGUGGCAAAUUGCGUUCUGCUGAGAAAUGGGAAGAAAACGCGUGGGAACGGUCGGACACGCAACAGCAAGUGGAUGGGAAAGGAGCCCUCUCCAACACAAACCUCAUUGACUAAUGGGGCGGUUUUGGGUUUCGCCUUCGAAAGGUUCGGAAAUCGGCAGCGUUCUGUUACCGCCCGCCCGGCUCCAGCCCAGAGCCCGCGGCUCUUAUCGGACACCGCUCCCAGCGCUCCCUUCUGCUGCUCCUCUCUCCAGAAACCCGCACUUUAAAAACACAUAGAGAGCUUUAGGUUUAUUUGGUAGGCUUAUUUCUAAGGCCGGAGGGGCAGAGGGGGGCCGCGUUUUCUAUCUUUCCUAUACAAUUCUUUUUUUUUUUUUUUUUUUUCGGCGAAAUCGGUGAAAAACGGCCGAGCGCUGCCCCGGCCCCAUCCCCAUCCCCGCUCCGCAUCGAAUAAACCCGCGGAGAUGUGCGCUCCUGCGCAGGGAUCGGGGCCGGGGUGAGCCCGACCCGUACGGCACAGAACCUCCCCGAGCCGCCCUGCCGCCGUUCGGCCGUUCGCUUCGAGCUCCGUUCCUUUGCUUUUAUUCGAGCGCUUCGAAACCAUUUCUCGUCUGAAUUUAUGGGGCUAAACGGAGCGUGAGGUUCGGAAAUCCGUGCCGUUUUGCUUCUUUCGGGUGGUUUGAAGCGAAAACUUUCCGUUUGUUUUGUAGGAAAAGCAGCGGGUAACGCACGCCGCUGGGAGCGGCCCCGGCCGC